rnacentral:rRNA from 1 species
GAUGAACGCUGGCGGCGUGCCUAAUACAUGCAAGUCGAGCGAACAGAUAAGGAGCUUGCUCCUUUGACGUUAGCGGCGGACGGGUGAGUAACACGUGGGUAACCUACCUAUAAGACUGGGAUAACUUCGGGAAACCGGAGCUAAUACCGGAUAAUAUUUCGAACCGCAUGGUUCGAUAGUGAAAGAUGGUUUUGCUAUCACUUAUAGAUGGACCCGCGCCGUAUUAGCUAGUUGGUAAGGUAACGGCUUACCAAGGCGACGAUACGUAGCCAACCUGAGAGGGUGAUCGGCCACACUGGAACUGAGACACGGUCCAGACUCCUACGGGAGGCAGCAGUAGGGAAUCUUCCGCAAUGGGCGAAAGCCUGACGGAGCAACGCCGCGUGAGUGAUGAAGGUCUUCGGAUCGUAAAACUCUGUUAUUAGGGAAGAACAUACGUGUAAGUAACUGUGCACGUCUUGACGGUACCUAAUCAGAAAGCCACGGCUAACUACGUG